UACAGAGGGUGCGAGCGUUAAUCGGAAUUACUGGGCGUAAAGCGUGCGUAGACGGCUAUCUAAGUCGGGUGUGAAAGCCCCGGGCUCAACCUGGGAAUUGCAUUCGAGACUGAAUAGCUAGGGUACGAUAGAGGGAAGUGGAAUUUCCGGUGUAGCGGUGAAAUGCGUAGAUAUCGGAAGGAACAUCAGUGGCGAAAGCGACUUCCUGGACCAGUACCGACGUUCAGGCACGAAAGCGUGGGGAGCAAACAGG
rnacentral:rRNA from 1 species